CAAUGGGGGAAACCCUGUUCCAGCCAUGCCGCGUGAGUGAUGAAGGCCCUAGGGUUGUAAAGCCCUUUUGUGCGGGAAGAUAAUGACGGUACCGCAAGAAUAAGCCCCGGCUAACUUCGUGCCAGCAGCCGCGGUAAUACGAAGGGGGCUAGCGUUGCUCGGAAUUACUGGGCGUUAAGGGUGCGUAGGCGGAUCUUUAAGUCAGAGGUGAAAGCCUGGAGCUCACCUCCAGAACUGCCUUUGAUACUGGGGAUCAUGAGUUCGGGGGAGGUGAGUGUAGCUGCGAGUGUAGAGGUGAAGUUCGUAGAAAUACGCAAGAAAACCAGUGGCGAAGGCGGCUCACUGGCCCGAUACUGACGCUGAGGCACGAAAGCGUGGGGAGCA
rnacentral:rRNA from 1 species